rnacentral:rRNA from 1 species
CGGAGGGUGCGAGCGUUGUCCGGAAUCACUGGGCGUAAAGGGCGCGUAGGCGGCUCGGUAAGUAGGGGGUGAAAUCCUGCGGCUUAACCGCAGGGCUGCCUUCUAAACUGUCGAGCUCGAGCACGGUAGAGGCAGAUGGAAUUCCCGGUGUAGCGGUGGAAUGCGUAGAGAUCGGGAAGAACAUCAGUGGCGAAGGCGGUCUGCUGGGCCGUUGCUGACGCUGAGGCGCGACAGCGUGGGGAGCAAACAGGAUUAGAUACCCUGGUAGUCCACGCCGUAAACGAUGGGCACUAGGCGUCGGGGGGAGCGACCCUCCCGGUGCCGUCGCUAACGCAGUAAGUGCCCCGCCUGGGGAGUACGGCCGCAAGGCUG